GAUCCUGGCUCAGGAUGAACGCUGGCGGCGUGCCUAAUACAUGCAAGUAGAACGCUGAAGGAAGGAGCUUGCUCUUUUCCGGAUGAGUUGCGAACGGGUGAGUAACGCGUAGGUAACCUGCCUGGUAGCGGGGGAUAACUAUUGGAAACGAUAGCUAAUACCGCAUAACAGUAGAUAUUGCAUGAUAUCUGCUUGAAAGGUGCAAUUGCAUCACUACCAGAUGG
rnacentral:rRNA from 1 species